UACGGAAGGCAGCAGUGGGGAAUAUUGCACAAUGGGCGCAAGCCUGAUGCAGCCAUGCCGCGUGUAUGAAGAAGGCCUUCGGGUUGUAAAGUACUUUCAGUCGUGAGGAAGGUGUUAAGGUUAAUAACCUUAGCAAUUGACGUUAGCGACAGAAGAAGCACCGGCUAACUCCGUGCCAGCAGCCGCGGUAAUACGGAGGGUGCGAGCGUUAAUCGGAAUUACUGGGCGUAAAGGGCACGCAGGCGGUUAAUUAAGUUGGAUGUGAAAUCCCCGGGCUUAACCUGGGAAUGGCAUUCAAGACUGGUUAGCUAGAGUCUUGUAGAGGGGGUUAGAAUUCCAUGUGUAGCGGUGAAAUGCGUAGAGAUGUGGAGGAAUACCGGUGGCGAAGGCGGCCCCUGGACAAAGGCUGACGCUCAUGUGCGAAGCGUGGGGAGCAAACGAGGAUUAGAUACC
rnacentral:rRNA from 1 species